rnacentral:lncRNA from 1 species
AAAUCUAUACGGAUGUCCUUCGACUGCUCACCGAAAUCCUUUUUGCCUCAGCCGGUAGGUCUCUAGACAUUACAGAGAACCCCAAACAACCCAAUCUCCUAAUCUCUGACACCGCUUUAUACUCACGACCUUGUAUCCACUGACUAUCUUGUUAGAUUAACCCAAAAAUUUUCAUUCAUUCCGCAUACUCAAUCCUAUAGACACCCUUUUAAUUCUUCAAUCACAGACGUAACUUCGAUUUCACAAAACAGUCAAGAGUAAUCACACCCACUUCAUUAAAACCCCGAUUCAUUAGUACAAUACAUCGACUAUUCAGCAUUGAUCGCCAGAAGUCCCUUUUCUGACCCUUACCCAAAAACCUUGUAUCCUCUUUUUUUCUUAACCUCCCUCCCCUUUAACCCUAAUUCUUCCCUCUUUCAAACCCUAGCCUCUGAAUUUCUUCAAUCUUCCAUCUUGGAUCCAAAAUUGGCUCCUGCCGUUAGAGCUUUCUCCUCCAUUUUUACCUUUAAGAGAUCUUUUUACCAAAAGGACGUUCCCAAAAUGGCACAAAGGACGGAAUAGCCUGAAACGAAAUCGGAGCCCCAUAAUCGGGACCACAUUGAGUCGCCCGACCAAUUCAAGUCUCAUAUUGAUUAAGAAGCCCGUAGUAAGACUUGGAUGUUCCCAUAAUUGGACCGCAUUGGAUUGCCCGACCAAGUCAGGUCUCAUAUUGAGUAAGAGGACCCGGAUUGGAUGUCUUGAAAUUGGAUCCAAUUGGCUCUUCGAACCAGGCUCACCCGUCAUUGAAUUGGUCUUUUCCCUUUCUGCUGACUCUCAUUAUUGGAAUCAAACGGAGCAUUUCAGUAUGCCCCGGUUGACUGUAUCGGGGUGAUUGACCCUGGCCUCUCAGUAUUUGCACUGGAAUUGGUCAUUGCUCCCAAUAUUCGAGGUAAUUGAAUAUGAAUAAAAGUCCCCUUUCUUUAUAUUUUCAUAAUAUAGUCGUAUUACAACACGACAUCCACCCCCUCUGAACUUGUGCAUCUUUCGGUAUGCACCAAUUUACCCAAUUGCUGUUUGAUUUAUAAUAUAUUCUCUACAUCUUUAUCCAGUUCGUCUUUGUCACCUUCAUUAUCCAAAUCACUUUCAUCUUCUUGCUGCGGAAUCUCUAUACCUUUAUUAAGGUCUUCAAUAUUCAUCUCUGCACGUCUUCGUUUAAAUAUUUUUACUCGCUUCCCUGCAAUUGAUAUUUUCAAUUUUAUACCAUCUAACUCCUGUAAUGAGUAAGUCACAUUAUCAUGAACAGUUGUUACUACAUAUGGUCCAAACCAACGUUUUGAAAAUUUCCACAUAGUACUAUGUUGGUUAUCCAGACUAUUAUCAUAAACAAGUAUCCAAUCACCUUCUUCGAUUGCUUUAGGUCUCAAUCAAUGUUGCUUAUCGAAUCGCGCCUUGUUUUGUAACCUUGCUCUUUUUAACCUUUUCAAUGCUAUCUGCACAUCUUCCAAUCUUUGCUCCAAUUGUCGAAUCCUAAUAGCCAGAAGUUCUUUUCUUGUCAAUCCAUCUUCCCAUGGUAGCAUACUCCAAGUAAGUACCUUUUCUUCAAUCAGCAUAAUUGGUUUUUGACCUCUCAUAAGUUCUACUGGCAUAUAUCAUGUCACCGAGCUAUGUGUUGUUCGAUCGGCCCGUAAUGCAAAUGACAAAAGCCGUGGCCACUCUUUAACUUUCCUAUUACAAGCUUUAACUAAUGCUUUUACAAUCGGUGGGUGACCACGUUCGCUUUUUGCAUUCCCUUCCGGAUUAUAAGCUGUAGUCAGUGAUAGUUUAACUCCACAUCUUUCAAAGAACUUACGAGCUUCUUGUGCAUUUAAUUCUCCACGAUCUGCAGUGAUUUUUCCUACGCAUCUAUAGUGGCAAAUGACAUCUUCAAGCAAAAACCUACAAAUCCCCUCUGUAGAUUUUGUCCUCAAUGCUCUUCCUUCUACUUGAUUUGAUAAAUCUUCACGAGCUAAGACCAAAUAUUUCAUCUGCCAUAACCCAACUGGCAUAAUAGCCAAAUCAACAAUCCAUUUAAAAUGAAUAGCGAGAGAAUACGUAGGAUGAAGGCCAUCUCGAUGUCGGAUAUUAGAAUACGAAUGACACAUUUCAUAUGAUUCUACAAAUGAGAGCACCUCUUGAUACAUAUUUUUCCACCAAUAUCGUUCCUUGAGUUUAGCAAAAGUAGCCCAGAUUCCUCUAUGCCCUGCCCAUAAACUACCAUGAAACUCCUUUAAUAAUUUUAGUUUUUCUUUCUUUUUGCCUAUCACUCAUCGUGGCAUCCCAAUUCCUUUCUUCGGUCUCUUCCAUAAGAAUCCAUCUCGAAGCAAAAAUCCAUAUGCUUUUUUUCUUAUUUGUUUGAAUUUUUCUGUAAACCAAUUCCCCUACUUACUCAAGGUAUUCAAGUAAUGAUCAAUAUCCAAUAAAUCUCCUUCAUAAGAUUCUUCAAUAAAUAGCUUGUCCUCCCUAUUGAGAUUUGAUAUUGAAUAGAAUUCAAUCCGACGUCAUCAAUGUCUUCAACCAUUUCGUCCUCCCUCUCGUAUCUUACUCGAGAUAGUAUGUCUGCUACUAAAUUGUCCUUCCCAGUAACAUGCUUAAAUUUUGGAUUUAGUGACUUAAUAUAAGCAAUCCAUCUCAACAUUGCAAUAUCUGGCGUUGAACAGUUAGUAAUCAUUCCAAGCAAUGGCAAGCAAUCUGUUUCAAUUACUACUACUGCCCCAAUCAAAUAGUCCUUUUCAGCUUUCAUAGCUAAAACAACUCCCCAAAGUUCUCUUUUGACUUGCGAAUAUGCAUGCUGACGAAUACUUAAAACUUUAGCUCCAAAUCAAACUGCAAAUCUAUUCUCACUUGAAUCAUCUUCACCCAUAGCCCAUCCAAUGGCAAUUGGACUAGCGUCCACAGUAAGAAUCACUGGUCUAUUGUACUUAUAAUCAACCUUCCUCAAUAUUGGAGGUGACAUCAAUAAUUUCUCCAAUAUUUGCAUUGCCUGAAUAUGCCUUUCUUCCCAUUUAAAUCGGUAACCCUUGCAUAAUAAUUCAUAUAAUGGAUCUGCUAUUUGAGCAUAAUGAGGGAUCCAGAUUCGAUAAAAUAUACAUGCACCUAAAAACCUGCCAACCUCUGUUAAAGAAUCAUAAUCCUCUUUCAUCCUUCCAAUUGCAUCAACUUUAGUCGGAUCUGGUUUUCUCCCGUAAAAUCCACAUAAAUGUCCAACAAUCACAACCUCUCGUACUCCAAAUACGGACUUCAUACCCGAUAAUGUAAGAUAAAUUCUCUAAGCCGAAUUAAAAUCUUUUCACAAUCUUGUAUAUGAUCAACAACAUAUUUGCGACACCCCCUCGUAUCUAAAGUUUCAUCCUUGUCUCCUUCUCUGCACCCUUUUAUAGGAACAUCAUCCAAAAAAGGCAUAGUCUUUUCCGGAAUAAAAUCUCUCAAUACCUUAUUCAUCCCAUUCAUCAUAUGUGCAAUUGAGUUGGUCGCGCCUUGAGGAAGAGUGCACAUUCUAACCAAUCUAAGUGGUGUCCUCAUCGUCGUCAUAUCUCUACUUCCUUUGGCAAGUUGAAAUUGAUCAUAACCAGAAUACAAGUCAUCCAUUGAAUAGAUUGCUCUUCCUGCAAAUGCCUCAGCAAAUUCAUCCACAAUAGGUCCAAUUCGUGCAUUCUUAAUAGUUACUGCAUUCACCGGUUGCAUAUCUUGAAUAAACCGUAGUGACCCAUUCUUCUUAGGUACCGUAAACCAUCGACUAGAAUACGGCGCAAAUGAGGGUUCCAAUAUUUUCAUCUUUAUCUUUUCUUUUAAUAGUUCCAUCAAUUUAGGUAAAUGUGCCCUCGGUACUGGAAUCGGUCUUAGAUUCUAAGGUACAUGCAGUAUAGUGAAGAUAACCAUAGGUGUUAUAAUAUUUGGAUCCACACACCCAAUUUCAUGAGAUUCAAAGGCAAACAAUCUACCUUGUUUAGCCAACAUCUUUUUGAAACAAGUAAUUUCCUCCGACAAUAAAGAACCAUAAGAACCAAUCUUCAAUUCUUCAAAAGUCUUUUUAGUGAACUGAUGUCCAAUACUCAUUGGAUCUCUUAAACUUGCUUCUUUUGAUGCUUCUCCCAUUUGUUCUUUAGAAUCUUCUGGUAAUGGUCCGGCAACAGGCUUUACCUUCUUAUCUGCCGUUUUAUAUCUCGUCUCUAUAGUGACUUCUGGUACUUGAAAAGAUUCAAGUAUGGUAUAAACCUCUCUUGAAUGAAUCUCAACAAUCUUAUCAUUAUUCCCUAACCCAAUAGAUGUAAUCAAUUCCAAUGAAUCUUCCAGUUCAUUUUCUUCAUAAACACCUAAAAUCCUUUCAUCAUCUUGCAAUGUACCUAACUUGCGUAAUUCUCCUUCAAUAUUAUAUAAUCUUUUUCUUUCUUUUCUUUUAAAAUCAUCAACUUUUUUAUACAUAAUAUUUCCAUUCUCCAAUAUACCAAUAAAACUUGCAUCAAAGGCACCUUCAUCUCAUGAGAGUAUUUCCUCUUUUGUACCUCCAUAAUCUCGCUUUAUAGUGGUACGUUUCCAAAAUCCUUAAAUCCUUCAACAAUCUUUGGCAAUGGUUUCUCCCUCAACCUAUCUCGAUUCCAUUCAUGGUUACGAGAUACUGUUAGAAAUUGUACAGCUUUCCUCCCAUCUUCGCUCCGUCUCCUUGCAUAAAAAGAACCAUCGUCAAGUAAUUUUGUUUCCAUCCGUGUUGCCGUGAUAUAAGGUUGUCCUAAAAUCAACGGAUAAGACGUUGUAUCUUGAACAAAGAAAUGUUGCUCCGUUGCAACAUCCCCAAUCCGAAUUUUGACAUCUGGACAAGCUCCAUAUAAUUCGCCCCGUGUGUUAAUAGCUGCUCGUAUUGCCCAUCCAUAUUCCAUAUCAAUUGGCCAUUUUUGCUUCUUAUAAAGAUCUUUAGACAUGAGAUUUAUUUCAGAACCAUGGUCGACUAAAGCAACAAUUGGUUCUUCUAUAUCUCCUACUUUCACCAAUACCUCAAUAGUUGCCCUUGCCCAAUGCUUUCAAGUAUAAUGGCUCAAAGUUUCCAUUUCCUUAUCACUAUAAUCUUUGAAACGUACUCGUUGAUUAUAUCCAUUCUUUUCAUUUGUUGGUUGCUUGUAACCAAUAUAAACCUCUUCUUCAUCUUUAUAUAUUCUUGCAUCAAUAGCAUGAUUCAUUCCGGUUUCACCUAUGAAUUGCCUCUUUCGUUUAAUGCUGUCAAUGAUAACAUCAUGAAACUCCUUCUUUGCAAUUCCCAAGACUUCUUUCAAUGUGAAUUUCACCUUAGCGUUUAAUAUACGUUCUUCCAACACCCCUUUCAAAUUUGUUGCCACUUCAAUGUCAGAAAGUAGUUUAUAAGCAAUUGAUUUGCCUUUAUCUUUUGUCUCCUUUGUUUUUUCUCCCAAUGAUGUUGAGGUAUCCUUUACAGACAAUUCUUGUGAAGCUGCCUCCCGAGCCUUGUCUCCUCGAGUUUGCCUCUUAGAAGAAUUUCCUUCUUUAGUAUCAUCAAAAUUUCCUCGUCUCUUUUCUUCCAUCAAAGGUUCAUGUUGGCUCUUAGCAAUAUAUGCAUGAACUGAAAGAGACUCAACAAGAUCCUCCCAACCUGUUGCACCUUGUAUUGUAGCUGCAGUCCUCAAUAAUGCUUCUCGAGGUAAUUUCCCUUCUUACAUUGUAGAAACGGUAGAAGGCCAAAACUCACUAAUUUUUGUUCUUCCACCAAGGUCAUCAUCUAAACCUGGUCUUGCCAAUUUGAUUUGAAGAUCUCGCAUUCCUCGUAUAAUUUCUUCCAUCCCCAUAUGUGCUUUCUUUGAUAAGGAUGUCAAAGGUUGAACUGUAGGCAUUGUUAGUGGUAUUGUACGUACAGGAGCUUUGGGUGCUUGUACUGUUUUUGGAAUAUUGCUCUUAUCCUUCCUCCUUUCUCUUUUUGCAAGCAACCCUACCGCAUCUUCAACGUUCUUCUACUUUGUUGUCAAUCCUUCAUCUUCUUCUUUGUGUUGAAGAAGGAGAUCUAAUUUCCCUUGCAAUUCUCCUUCAGCAGCUUGAAGAAAUAGAUCAACUUUGUUCGGCUCCAAUGUCAAUUUUUCUACCUUCGAUAAUUGACAGUACUGCCUCUCAAAUUUCCUUAGUAGCUUUGUUGCUUGUAAAUUCUUAUUCCAGAAACAGCUUCUUAGUAAUGCGAUCAGCAUCUUCCAAGAAAUAUUCGUCUUUCAAUGCAUGUGAAAAAACCUCCCAUGAAUUCUCAUAACGAUCCGUAAUCAAUGAUAUAUGGUCUCUUAUCUCCGGUAUCAUGGCAAGUCCAAAUAAUUCAACCAUUUUCUUCUCUGAAACUCGAUUUAAUUCCAUUUCACGAAUAUAAUAUCUUAAAUACCUUGAAAUAUUCUUUCCAUCAAAUUGAUCAAUUUUAUUGACCACUGCUUGCAAUGCUUUGGUUGCCAAAGCUUCCUUUCGAUGAUUGCUUUGCUGUUGCUGCAUUGAUAAUGAGAAGGCUUGAAACAUACUAGUAAUAGAUGGAUCCAUAUGCAUACCUUGUUCUUUAGAAGAAUCCCCACCAGAAACUCCUCGCAAAGAUCCUUCAAAAUUUUUAUUUUUAUUUUUCAUAGAAUAAAAAUAAAAUCAAAUGAAAUCCAAUACCUCUCACCUCAAGCUUUCAUUUGGGUUCACCACUUGUGUUAUAUUACGUAUUUUCUUGCUUGAGAAUGCAUCGGGCGUUUGGCUGUAAGAGGUAGUAUAGAGAUUCGCUAAUAUUCAUGCAUUCUAUCAGUUUUUGACUGUUGGAAUAUAAAAGAUUGCAAGAAUAUAUCGUAAAUCUAUACGGAUGUCCUUUGACUGCUCGCCAAAAUCCUUUUUGGCUCAGCCGAUAGGUCUCUAGACAUUACAGAGAACCCCAAACAACCCAAUCUGCUAAUCUCCUAUAUCGCUUUAUACUCACGACCUUGUAUCUACUGACUGUCUUGUUAGAUUAAUCCAAAAAUUUUCAUUCACUCCGCAUACUCAAUCCUAUAGACAUCCUAUUAAUUCUUCAAUCACAGACGUAACUUCGAUUUCACAAAACAAUCAAGAGUAAUCACACCCACUUCAUUAAAACCCCGAUUCACUAGUACAACACAUCGACUAUUCAGCAUUGAUCGCCAGAAGUCCCUUUU